GACAGAGGUGGCAAGCGUUGUCCGGAAUUACUGGGCGUAAAGAGCGCGUAGGUGGCUAGAUAAGUCCGGUGUGAAAUCCUUCGGCUUAACCGGGGAAUGGCAUCGGGGACUGUAUAGCUAGAGGACGGAAGAGGAGAGCGGAAUUCCCGGUGUAGCGGUGAAAUGCGUAGAGAUCGGGAGGAAGGCCGGUGGCGAAGGCGGCGCUCUGGAACAUUUCUGACGCUGAGGCUCGAAAGCGUGGGGAGCAAACAGG
rnacentral:rRNA from 1 species